rnacentral:rRNA from 1 species
UGGGGAAUUUUGGACAAUGGGGGAAACCCUGAUCCAGCCAUCCCGCGUGUGCGAUGAAGGCCUUCGGGUUGUAAAGCACUUUUGGCAGGAAAGAAACGUCAUGGGUUAAUACCCCGUGAAACUGACGGUACCUGCAGAAUAAGCACCGGCUAACUACGUGCCAGCAGCCGCGGUAAUACGUAGGGUGCAAGCGUUAAUCGGAAUUACUGGGCGUAAAGCGUGCGCAGGCGGUUCGGAAAGAAAGAUGUGAAAUCCCAGAGCUCAACUUUGGAACUGCAUUUUUAACUACCGGGCUAGAGUGUGUCAGAGGGAGGCGGAAUUCCGCGUGUAGCAGUGAAAUGCGUAGAUAUGCGGAGGAACACCGAUGGAGAAGGCAGCCUCAUGGGAUAACACUGACGCUAAUGCACGAAAGCGUGGGGAGCAAACAGG